UACAGAGGCCUCGAGCGUUAGGCGGAAUCACUGGGCUUAAAGCGUGUGUAGGCGGAUCGUUAAGUGCCUUGUGAAAUCCCACGGCUUAACCGUGGAACUGCUUGGCAUACUGGCGGUCUUGAGCAACCUAGGGGCGAGCGGAACAAAUGGUGGAGCGGUGAAAUGCGUAGAUAUCAUUUGGAACGCCAAUGGUGAAAACAGCUCGCUGGGGGUUUGCUGACGCUGAGACACGAAAGCCAGGGGAGCGAACGGG
rnacentral:rRNA from 1 species